rnacentral:rRNA from 1 species
UACGUAGGGGGCAAGCGUUGUCCGGAAUCAUUGGGCGUAAAGCGCGUGCAGGCGGUCCGAUAAGUCGGUUGUGAAAGUCCAGGGCUCAACCCUGGGAUGCCGACCGAUACUGUCGGACUAGAGUUCGGAAGAGGCGAGUGGAAUUCCCGGUGUAGCGGUGAAAUGCGCAGAGAUCGGGAGGAACACCAAUGGCGAAGGCAGCUCGCUGGGACGUUACUGACGCUGAGACGCGAAAGCGUGGGGAGCAAACAGG